CUUUCUGACCUAGCCACCAUUCACAAGCCCCUCUCUCUUUAUCCACCGCUUUUGCACCGUUUAAUCACAAUACUUUCCUCAUACUCGAUACCAGAAACCUUAAAUUAACCAGCCAAACCAACCAUUUCUAUCUAAUAGCAUGACGAAGCCAUAAAAGAUAUCAACAACAAACAAGGCGAGGUUCCCGUUCACUACUCGAUACAUCAAGUUCCAUACUCUACUGUUGAGUGUUUGUACAACUAGACUUCCAAGUGAUGUUACCAUUACCAUUGGUGAAGUUUCUUUUCCCCGUGAAGGUGACCGUUUUUUUAUUGAAAAAUGUUAAUUGUUAAUAAAUUAAUCUCUUCACCCGGGUUUGAACUAUAAAAAUUCACCCUUUAUUACCCUUAGCUCAACCAAGUGAGAUACCCUUCCCUUCACAAGGUAAUUGUUUUACGUUUGCUUGUUGCAUACAUUUUUAUUUUUCUUCUCAAUAUUUACUUGUGAAGGAGGUAAAGUCAAGACAAAAUGCACAGUAAUGUGAAAGGUGAGAGCCCACUAUUUUAUGUUGGUGCAUCUUUGGAAUCCUGUAUCAGCACUUGCAAAGCUUCAACAACAAGAUGGCAAAGAUUGCAGUGACACCCUCAACAGUUUUCGCAGAAUUUGUAUUGUAUAGGAAGAAGUUGUUUGUCCAAGGUCUUUGCCGAAGCCCGGAGCUCUAGCGAGUGAUGAUUUGGCAAGCUGACUAUGUUAAUAAAGCUUAUGUGGAAUUUAAAAAUAAAAAAUAACAAAUCAGAAGAAGCGUCCAAAGAGAAGAACUGAAGACAGAAAAGAAAUAGUCAUGUGCAUCCUGAGAAUGCUACAAGACUUGCCUCAACAUGAAAGCAAAAGUUCAACUCAAUCAAACUUCAUCACUCAAAGCAUCAAAUAUUCACUUCAUGUGUAGAAUAACAAAGAGUGCUAAAGAGAGAGAUGAAUGGUGUAAAGGAAAGACUAUGAGACUAUGUCAUUCCAGCAAGCACUAAAAUCCGACAGUGUCUAUACAUUUAUAGUUUGAUCAAUUGAAGCACUCAAAGUCAAGACAAUGUGCAAAAGCCUUUCACAAGUCUCUACAAACGUCUGAUCUAUCCAAUGAUAUCGGGAAAUGUAUCACAAGAAAUUAGGGUUUGAAUUAUGUUCCCUACAAACGUGAGUUUUUCAAACGAUUAUAAGUUUAGAAAGAGUUUUCGCAAUCGUUUGAUGCAGCAGAUGAAUAUGAAGAUAGUGAAAAAUAAAUAACACUAAGCACACAUCAAUGUAUCCUAGUUCACCCAAAAACGAUGAGGCUACGUCCAGUCCGUGGAAGCUCGGGCCCACCAGAAACCGUGGUUGGAGCGAAAUCUGUAUAAGUUGCUUAUGAGUUGCUUAAAUCAUAUGUCGCAGCUCGAGCCCACUAGAAUAGUGUUUAAGCAACUCAAAUAGCAACUCAUGGAGAUGCUCUAACUAGGGCUGUGUAUACUGGCUCGAACUGAAUCUGAGCAAACUAGUAGUUUUUUACGAAACGCACCAGUUCGGUUUGGCCGUGGGUUUGACCAGUCCACUUAUAUGGGUUCAUGUUGGUUUGACUGGUCGGUUUUGAUUUGGGCUCGCGCCUGACCGAAGUGUGGAAGUAUUAAAAAACCCUGCCUAAACACUCUUAGUCAGAAAAUUAAAAAAAGUUCAACCCACUUACUUUAGAUUAACUGAACCAUAGCCCUAGCCCCUUCUCUCAUUCACUCACCCACUCUCGUUCUCUCACUCUAGUUCUCUCACUCUCACCCUCUCUUGGCUCUUGCUGGGUGUUGUGAACCCUAACCUUACCACAGUCGCGGAUGCCACCACUGUCGUUGCUUCCCAUUGGCCCGAAGCUACGUCUUGGUCCUAUUCGCAGUUGCAGCGAGAUCUUACCGACAAAAACCAUAACACGUAACCUCAUCACUUCAGUGGUUCCAUGGCUUCAUCAUCCUCAAGAUCGAAGAUUUAUGGAUGUGCAUGUCAUCCUCAUCCAAUCCUCAAUUCAUGGAUUCCCAACUCAAGUCUUCAACUUUAUCUAGUUUCUCAUCUUUUCUUAUCUUCUAUUGUAAAAUUUUAA